UUUAUAUGUGACGGAAUUAGGGAAGCAGCAUGAGACAACACAAUGUUUGAUGGAGAAGACGUUAAUGGAGGCUAACUAAUUCCGUUGCAAGCAUGGCCGAUAACAGCACGCCCACACUGAUUAAAUUGCAAUCGAUUCCUGCAAAAUGUCAGGAAAUGCAAGGAUCUGCCGCCAUUCGAUGUGCCUCUAAUGAAAGCUGAAGGAACCAACAUGUGGAGGAUAUAGACUGUAAUGGCUGGAGUCUCUACACACAAAGGAACACAGUUAGG